rnacentral:rRNA from 1 species
AGAGUUUGAUCCUGGCUCAGGAUGAACGCUGGCGGCGUGCCUAACACAUGCAAGUCGAACGAAGCGAUUUAACGGAAGUUUUCGGAUGGAAGUUGAAUUGACUGAGUGGCGGACGGGUGAGUAACGCGUGGGUAACCUGCCUUGUACUGGGGGACAACAGUUAGAAAUGACUGCUAAUACCGCAUAAGCGCACAGUAUCGCAUGAUACAGUGUGAAAAACUCCGGUGGUACAAGAUGGACCCGCGUCUGAUUAGCUAGUUGGUAAGGUAACGGCUUACCAAGGCGACGAUCAGUAGCCGACCUGAGAGGGUGACCGGCCACAUUGGGACUGAGACACGGCCCAAACUCCUACGGGAGGCAGCAGUGGGGAAUAUUGCACAAUGGGCGAAAGCCUGAUGCAGCGACGCCGCGUGAGUGAAGAAGUAUUUCGGUAUGUAAAGCUCUAUCAGCAGGGAAGAAAAUGACGGUACCUGACUAAGAAGCCCCGGCUAACUACGUGCCAGCAGCCGCGGUAAUACGUAGGGGGCAAGCGUUAUCCGGAUUUACUGGGUGUAAAGGGAGCGUAGACGGUAAAGCAAGUCUGAAGUGAAAGCCCGCGGCUCAACUGCGGGACUGCUUUGGAAACUGUUUAACUGGAGUGUCGGAGAGGUAAGUGGAAUUCCCGGUGUAGCGGUGGAAUGCGCAGAUAUCGGGAAGAACACCGAUGGCGAAGGCAGCCUGCUGGGCCGCCACUGACGCUGAGGCGCGAAAGCUGGGGGAGCGAACAGGAUUAGAUACCCUGGUAGUCCCAGCCGUAAACGAUGGGCGCUAGGUGUGGGGGGACAGUCCCCCCGUGCCGCAGCCAACGCAUUAAGCGCCCCGCCUGGGGAGUACGGCCGCAAGGCUAAAACUCAAAGGAAUUGACGGGGGCCCGCACAAGCAGCGGAGCAUGUGGCUUAAUUCGAAGCAACGCGAAGAACCUUACCCGGGCUUGACAUGCGAGUGAAGCCGCGGAGACGCGGUGGCCGAGAGGAGCUCGCGCAGGUGGUGCAUGGCUGUCGUCAGCUCGUGUCGUGAGAUGUUGGGUUAAGUCCCGCAACGAGCGCAACCCCCGUCCCGUGUUGCCAGCAUUGAGUUGGGGACUCGCGGGAGACUGCCGGCGUCAAGCCGGAGGAAGGUGGGGACGACGUCAAGUCAUCAUGCCCCUUAUGCCCUGGGCUGCACACGUGCUACAAUGGCCGGUACAGAGGGUUGCCACCCCGCGAGGUGGAGCAAAACUCAAAAACCGGUCCCAGUUCGGACUGCAGGCUGCAACUCGCAUGCACGAAGUCGGAGUUGCUAGUAAUCGUGGAUCAGAAUGCCACGGUGAAUGCGUUCCCGGGUCUUGCACACACCGCCC